GGUGAGAUGGCCGAGCGGUCUAAGGCGCCAGACUAAGGUUAGGUGUUUGAGAUUCAAACCCACCGCACAUAUCUGGUCCGAAAGGGCGUGGGUUCGAAUCCCACUCUCAUCA